rnacentral:rRNA from 1 species
AUUGAACGCUGGCGGCAGGCCUAACACAUGCAAGUCGAGCGGAUGAAGUGAGCUUGCUCCUGGAUUCAGCGGCGGACGGGUGAGUAAUGCCUAGGAAUCUGCCUGGUAGUGGGGGAUAACGUCCGGAAACGGGCGCUAAUACCGCAUACGUCCUGAGGGAGAAAGUGGGGGAUCUUCGGACCUCACGCUAUCAGAUGAGUCUAGUUCGGAUUAGCUAGUUGAUGGGGUAAAGGCCUACCAAGGCGACGAUCCGUAACUGGUCUGAGAGGAUGAUCAGUCACACUGGAACUGAGACACGGUCCAGACUCCUACGGGAGGCAGCAGUGGGGAAUAUUGGACAGUGGGAGAAAGCCUGAUCCAGCCAUGCCGAGUGUGUGAAGAAGGUCUUCGGAUUGUAAAGCACUUUAAGUGGGGAGGAAGGGCAGUAAGUUAAUACCUUGCUGUUUUGGCGUUACCAACAGAAGAAGCACCGGCUAACUUCGUG